UGGCUUGGCCGCUUCCCAACGCUGGCACCCCCGUGCAUUGCGUCCGCUUGACUACCGUGCUUUUUGACGUGUUCAGCGGGUUUUUUCCGUGCACGCAUCGCCUGUUCUUUGUUUCGCUGGGUUGAAGGCGCGGCUUCAUUCGGAAACCAUUCGAAGUCAUUCCACGUGGGAAAAUGCGAGAACCCAUGCCAUUUGCCAAGCACCAGUCGCCUGGUUGACAAAUUGCAGUUUGGAAGCGGAUUAUUCAAAAGCCAUUGGACCUGCGACCAUCUGACAUGCCUUUCUUCAUCCUCCUUCGUCAUGUACCAUAGUCUUGUUAGGAUGCGGCGUCAGUUUUUCUAGACAUGUCAUUCAUAACUAUGCGUAAUAGUUAAUCAAUGUAAAACGUGACAGGUAUUUUAUAACCUAUAUUUAAAGUUAGUCAAAAUCAAUACAAGGCAAGCAGAUGUACAUAAUUUCCAAAAAUGAAAUUUUGUAUUUUGCAGAUUUUUUGCCUUCUAAACAUUGUUAUGAAAUGCUAGCUAUGGAAAGUCAUUUUCCAGUAUCUUUACAUGUCUUUUCAAUGUGCCUUAUUCAACACCUGUGUGUGCUGCAUGUAUUUUUCUUGUGUUAGCGCUAUGCCCAGAUUUUUAAAGUGCUGUUCACUUGCAAAGUGCUAUGAUGUCGCAAUACUAUUCCUUCGUGAAGAAUUUCAUUUUGAUGCAGAAGUGACACGGCUGCCAUAUGUGCACAUGUCUGCGUGUCAUACAAAGGCUCUCUUAUACCUUCACAUAUUUUAUUUCAGACUGUGAAGUA